rnacentral:lncRNA from 1 species
GGCAACAUUGCUUAGUUUUGUUGGGUCUACUAAUAUUGUGUUUUCUUGUAUGUUUCAUGCCGAUUCUGAUUGGCUUUUUGUUUUGUAACUUCUCAUAUGUAGUUGGAUUAUUUUGGGAUUCUAAGAUCCCCUUUUACUGUUUGUUCUUCAACUAGUUGGAAUCUUUUUUAGGAGCUGCUUGGGAGUUCUAUCUCCCAUCACUGUUCUUCUUUAUAAAAUCUCUUAUAUAUCAUCUUAUCUUAAUAACUCUAAUUAUAUUUUGUAUAUUUUACUUUUUUUUUUACAGCUUAAUAAAGGCUAGUGGCUAAUGGGAUUAUCC